UUGCAGCUUGUUGAAUGUGAAUAUUUUCUAGGUCCUUCUCUCCUCUGUGACAGUAAACUCAAUAUCUUUGAGACAUUUAAGGACGUCAUCUUUGGGCUUUGGGGAACACUGAUUGACAUUUUUUCUGCCGUUUCCU